rnacentral:rRNA from 1 species
GAUGAACGCUGGCGGCGUGCUUAAGACAUGCAAGUCGAACGGAGUGUGUAGCAAUACUCACUAAGUGGCGAAUGGGUGAGUAACACGUAGGUGACCUGCCCUGAAGUGCGGAAUAACAGUCCGAAAGGAUUGCUAAUACCGCAUGUGGUCCCGGGCGUUAGAGAACCGGUCGUAAGACAGUAAUGCGCUUCAGGAGGGCGU